rnacentral:rRNA from 1 species
GCUGCCUGUUGCCACCACGAGAGUGGGGACUCAGGCGGGACCGCCGGUGCAAACCGGAGGAAGUGGGGACGACGUCAAGUCAUCAUGGCCCUUAUGUCCUGGGCUACACACGUGCUACAAUGGCCGGUACAGAGCGCAGCGAGGCCGCGAGGCGGAGCGAAUCGCUUAAAGCCGGUCCCAGUACGGAUUGGAGUCUGCAACCCGACUCCAUGAAGUUGGAAUCGCUAGUAAUCGCGCAUCAGCAUGGCGCGGUGAAUACGUUCCCGGGGUUU